UACGUAGGGGGCAAGCGUUGUCCGGAAUCAUUGGGCGUAAAGAGCGUGUAGGCGGCUCGGUAAGUCCGCUGUAAAAGUCCAGGGCUCAACCCUGGAAAGCCGGUGGAAACUGUCGAGCUAGAGUCCGGAAGAGGCGAGUGGAAUUCCUGGUGUAGCGGUGAAAUGCGCAGAUAUCAGGAGGAACACCGGUGGCGAAGGCGGUCUGCUGGGCCAGUACUGACGCUGAGGCGCGACAGCGUGGGGAGCAAACAGG
rnacentral:rRNA from 1 species